GUGGGGAAUCUUAGACAAUGGGGGAAACCCUGAUCUAGCCAUGCCGCGUGAUCGAUGAAGGCCUUAGGGUUGUAAAGAUCUUUCAGCUGGGAAGAUAAUGACGGUACCAGCAGAAGAAGCCCCGGCUAACUCCGUGCCAGCAGCCGCGGUAAUACGGAGGGGGCUAGCGUUGUUCGGAAUUACUGGGCGUAAAGCGCACGUAGGCGGAUUGGAAAGUUGGGGGUGAAAUCCCGGGGCUCAACCCCGGAACUGCCUUCAAAACUCCCAGUCUUGAGGUCGAGAGAGGUGAGUGGAAUUCCGAGUGUAGAGGUGAAAUUCGUAGAUAUUCGGAGGAACACCAGUGGCGAAGGCGGCUCACUGGCUCGAUACUGACGCUGAGGUGCGAAAGCGUGGGGAGCAAACAGGAUUAGAUACCCUUGUAGUCC
rnacentral:rRNA from 1 species